rnacentral:rRNA from 1 species
CAUAUCAAUAAGCGGAGGAAAAGAAACUAACAAGGAUUCCCCUAGUAACUGCGAGUGAAGCGGGAAAAGCUCAAAUUUAAAAUCUGGCAGCCUUUGGUUGUCCGAGUUGUAAUCUAGAGAAGUGUUAUCCGCGCUGGACCGUGUACAAGUCUCCUGGAAUGGAGCGUCAUAGAGGGUGAGAAUCCCGUCUUUGACACGGACUGCCAGGGCUUUGUGAUGCGCUCUCAAAGAGUCGAGUUGUUUGGGAAUGCAGCUCAAAAUGGGUGGUAAAUUCCAUCUAAAGCUAAAUAUUGGCGAGAGACCGAUAGCGAACAAGUACCGUGAGGGAAAGAUGAAAAGAACUUUGGAAAGAGAGUUAAACAGUACGUGAAAUUGCUGAAAGGGAAACGCUUGAAGUCAGUCGCGUUGUCCAGGGAUCAACCUUGCUUUUGCUUGGUGCACUUUCUGGUUGACGGGUCAGCAUCAAUUUUGACUAUUGGAAAAAGAUUAGGGGAAUGUGGCAUCUUUGGAUGUGUUAUAGCCCUUAGUUGCAUACAAUGGUUGGGAUUGAGGAACUCAGCACGCCGCAAGGCCGGGUUUUUAACCACGUACGUGCUUAGGAUGCUGGCAUAAUGGCUUUAAUCGACCCGUCUUGAAACACGGACCAAGGAGUCUAACAUGCCUGCGAGUGUUUGGGUGGAAAACUCGAGCGCGUAAUGAAAGUGAAAGUUGAGAUCCCUGUCGUGGGGAGCAUCGACGCCCGGACCAGACCUUUUGUGACGGUUCCGCGGUAGAGCAUGUAUGUUGGGACCCGAAAGAUGGUGAACUAUGCCUGAAUAGGGUGAAGCCAGAGGAAACUCUGGUGGAGGCUCGUAGCGAUUCUGACGUGCAAAUCGAUCGUCAAAUUUGGGUAUAGGGGCGAAAGACUAAUCGAACCAUCUAGUAGCUGGG